GAAACUUCAUUCAUUCAGACUUCUUGAUAUGUUAGCUUAGAUCGAUCAAAACGAACCCCUUCUUAUUUUUCUGUCGCCGUCUCUGCGAACCCUAGCUUUUCACUCUCUGUGCUUUGAUCAAAGCUUGCAUUUUCAAACUUUGAGCAUGGCUUCGAGAUCAUCGGGUCGUAACAACUCUGCUUCGAAAGGGUUUGAUUUCGCCACGAACGAUGACUUUGUUUGCUCGUACGAGGACUACGGUAAUCAGGGUAAUUAUAAUGGAAGGCACUCCGAUUCCGUGAUUGGAUCCAAUUCUGCUAAGCUUUUCACUCUCUGUGCUUCGAUCAAAGCUUGCAUUUUCAAACUUUGAGCAUGGCUUCCAGAUCAUUGGGUUGUAACAACUCUGCUUCGAAAGGGUUUGAUUUCGCCACCAACAGGAUAAUUAUAAUGGAAGGCACUUUGAUUCCGUGAUCGGAUCCAAUUCUGCUAAGGGAUAACCAAUACCACUGGCAAUUGCUACAAUUAUAACAAUCCCAAUACCAUCCGCAAGGAGAGAGAUCAAUAUCUCAACUUUGACACUGUUCAUCCCACUCAAGCAGCUAACUAUGUUUUUUCGUUGAAUUGUUUCGGUGGAACACUUUGCAGUCCACUCAAUAUCAGGACUCUUGUUGGAGCUCAACUCAGCGGGAGCAGGGUCACUGCUGUGCAGUGUUCCCUGCUGUGCCUAGAACGGCACGAUUUUAGUCUCUUUUUUUUUUUUUUUAUGUUCUCACUAUGGUUUUUGAUGUGAUAAAUUACACUUUUUUUAAUUUUAUUUUAGGAUUUAGGAUUUAAUUCUUAAAAUUUAUUUUUUUUUAUUUUAA